GUAACUUUACACAACGUGGCACCAAUUAUCGGCAGUGUGUGACAGUUAUCGGCACUUUUAAUUGAUUUUUAAUUAAUGACAGUAAUUUUUUUGCAAGGUGAGGGGCAAUGUGUUAUUAGUGAGCUCUAUCCAUGGAUCACAAGUUCAGUACAAAUUUCUGGAAAAGGUUCAGGCACAUGUAAAGUUUCAAAGGAAGGAGAAACAUAGUUUUGAUCACGUCUGGAUACAGGCAAAACAACAGGGUUUGACACAUCAAGGACAGUUUCUUGGCUAGGGGCUUCUACAACAUCAGAUGAAUCACUACUUUGAGGGACAGCUGGGAUGGAAGGCAGAUUGGCAGAGGUCGGAUUGGCAAGAUUAGCAGAGGGCAGAUUGACAGAGGGCAGAUUAGCAAUACUGGUAGAGGGAAGAUUGGCAAUAUCGGCAGAGGGCAGGGUGGCAAUGGCAGAGGGCAGAUAGGCAAUAUCGGCAGAGGGCAAAUUUGCUAACACAGUUUCUUUACAUUUAGGACUUUGUGUCUCAUUUUUCUUAAGGAAUGGGUACUUAAACACUCCAGAUAUCUCUCUGGCACUCAAACUGCCCGGUAAACUCAUUUUCCUAAAACGUAUAAAAAAAUUAAUUAGACUGUUAUUUGCUAUUCAAUGUGCCGAUAACUGUCUCCCCGUCAUUUUUUUACUGUUACAGUUAUCGGCACCCAUUUAAACCGGGAAGGGAAUAAAAAAUGCAAUAUUUAGUGGUCUUAUACCUAGAACAUAUUC